rnacentral:rRNA from 1 species
AGAGUUUAUCCUGGCUCAGGAUGAACGCUAGCGGCAGGCCUAAUACAUGCAAGUCGAGGGGCAGCAGGAUAGCAAUAUCGCUGGCGACCGGCGCACGGGUGCGUAACACGUAUACAAUCUGCCUUUAACAGGGGGAUAGCCCGGAGAAAUCCGGAUUAAUACCCCAUAACAGAUCGAAUGGCAUCAUUUGAUUUUGAAAGCUCCGGCGGUUAAAGAUGAGUAUGCGUCUGAUUAGCUAGUUGGUGAGGUAACGGCUCACCAAGGCGACGAUCAGUAGGGGAUCUGAGAGGAUUAACCCCCACACGGAUACUGAGACACGGAUCCGACUCCUACGGGAGGCAGCAGUAAGGAAUAUUGGACAAUGCCCGCAAGGGUGAUCCAGCCAUGCCGCGUGCAGGAAGACGGCCCUAUGGGUUGUAAACUGCUUUUAUACCGGAGAAAACCUCUUCUCGUGAGAAGAGCUGAUAGUAUGGUAAGAAUAAGCAUCGGCUAACUUCGUGCCAGCAGCCGCGGUAAGACGAAGGAUGCAAGCGUUAUCCGGAUUCAUUGGGUUUAAAGGGAGCGUAUGUGGCCUUAUAAGUCAGUGGUGAAAUCUCGCAGCUUAACUGCGAAAUUGCCAUUGAUACUGUAGGGCUUGAGUAUAGUUGCCGUUGGCGGAAUAUGACAUGUAGUGGUGAAUUACAUA